ACAUGAAGUAUUCAAAAAAUAAAUUAAAAUGGCGGACGCAUCAAGAGUGAAGAGUGGAGCUUUAUAAAACCAUUCAACAAUUGUCUUUUAAAAGAAAACCAAAUAAAUAUUUUGAAAAACAACUACUGGAAGAUAUCUCCUGAUUCAGAUUUAUGAGCAAGAUAAUCAUGCUUCCAUGGUCAAAGUAGCUCUUCUGAGUGUGUUUCAUCAUCGACAUCAAUGCCAUGUGGGUCAACAUCACUGAAUGAAACUGCUUCAAUACGAAAGCUUACAAGUGAAGAUAUAGAUAGGAGAGUAUAACAUCCCAACCUAUACAUUGUAGUUAAAAUAUAAUAACAAUAUCAACCUCAAAUUCAACUAAUAUUUUGUAUGCAAUCAAGCAAACUUUGGAAAUGCUGGUUGUUAAUUUUACUGCAAUUAUUACACAAGAUAUGAUUACACUCCUUUAUCAUUACCCAAUGCUGUCAGAAUUGUUAUCACAUGUGAAUGCAAUAUAAUUUUUGUACACAAUCAUUAUUUAAUUAUUGUUUUCAGCAUAAAUUAUGCCUUAUAAGGCCUUCUCCAGACAAUAUUUAUUGCAAGCUAUAUGAUAUUUGCUCCAAUAUUUGGCUAUAUUUGUGAAAGAUACAGUUGCAAGCUCAUUAUGAUCUAUUGCCUCGUUAUCUGGUCCUUAACAACAUUUCUUAGCACACUACUUAAUAAACACCUAUGUAAGCUUUUACUGAUUUCAUACAGUGAGUUAGAAGUCAGAUAUGUUAAAAACAGAAGGAAAAUGGUAGGUUAAUGAAUAGUUUGGUAUGUUCUUGGUUCAAAAGUAUCUUCUGCAUUUAGUGGUGGCAAUAAUUUUAUAAUAGAGAAAACACAGGGUAUGAAAACAUGUGAAAUAAACAUGUUAUUAUUUGAUGUGUUUCAGGUAACUCCAAUCUUGGGUGUGCUUCUUAUCAUCUUGGGCUUUAUAUCUGUUGUUUGAACCUGUCUAGGGGCAAAUUGAAAAGAGUCAGGGUGAUAUUGUUGCAGACAAGGAUGUUAUCAUUCGUCGUUCAUGGUUGAAUGAUGCGAAACAUAUGUUACGCUGAUACAGACAGAGCCACAGCAUCCGCAGUCCUUAUAUUGUGGGUUUGUGUUUUUCGCUUCUACGUUUGCUCGCUGGCUUCAUCGGUUCUUUCUUAUAAAAAGUUCUUUGAGGGACAACUUCGGGUUAUAUAUUAUUUAUGGCAUCUUCCGGCCUUUCUGAUGUCGCGGCGGAAGAAGGGGGAGCAGAUACGACAAAAGCCAAGCUAACCUCAGGAUGGUCCAAGCAUGGCAAAGGUUCCUGUCCAAAUUGUGGUUUGCAAUAUAGUUGCCGUUACAAGCCACCAAGUUGUUCAGGAUGCAAAUUUUGAGCUUGGAGGAUCAUAUGUCCCUAAAAAAAGCCUCGUCCAUUGGUGCCUAAGUGUACCUUGGUGGUGCAGCCAUCAGACGGGUUAUCAAUCUACUCGGUUAAUACCAGUACCUAUGAUGAUCGAUGUAUUGUGGUUCGUGAAGAGGCUUCAUCUAUGUGUCAGCAUCACCUGUGUAAACAGAAUAGAGCCAUUCAUAUUAACAGCCAAAAAGUGGCAAGCUUUAGUUGUCAGCAUUUGGAAUCCACCAGAGAUUGUACAACUCCUCUUCAGACAUUCAAUGGGAUAUCAGAUGAGGUCAUUUCCAGUUAUCUCUGUGAUGAUGAAACAAAAAAAACCCUGGCAGAAGUGGCAAAUGCAUCAAAGGCACAGUCAUUUCCAGUUGUGGUGCAUGUUUCUCCAACUAUGUGUUGCAUCUUUGGAAUGGCAACCACAAACAACACUGUUGGAUAUUGCCAUGUCAAGGUAACGGAAAAGGAAAUUAAAUGCUGUUCCAAAGACUGCAAAGGUAUGUUGAAGAGCAAGCAGCAAAAGUCCCGAAAAGUUUGCACCCACAUUCAUCUUUUAUUGGCUGUUGGCAUUUUUACACACAACGAAUGUGUGUCAGCAGAUCUUCGCCCACCAAUAGUGACAGACAAUUCCUUGACAACAAUUGACAGAAGUGGGAGCAAGUCUCGCAAGGCAACCAUGGGACUUUAAAUGAAGUUAAAGUUGCCAUAUGUCAUUCCAAAACCCAUUAUUCAGGCAGCAGGUAAAAUGGAUUUUUCCGUGUGGCCAGAGCAGUUUGAACCAGACCAAACUUUGUGUGAUUUGUGUAAAAGUCCUCUUGGUCAGUCCAAGCCACACCCAAAUCAACGUGGGCGAUCAAUCAUAAUGACCAAUGGAUGUCCAUUCAAAACAGUCAAAAUGCUAGUCAAAGAUUGCUCAUGUUGCUUUGCUAUGCACCAAGUGUUUCUCUACACAUUAGGUCUGUUUAAUAUUAGUGACAAGGUUCUGGUGGCACUUGAAAUUCUAUUAGAGUUCCGAGAAUUGUUCAAAAGAGGAGUGCCAAUUUCUGUAGCCAUGAAAAGUAAAUUAGCCUUGAUGGUCCAGAAAGUUGAGGUAAUUUCAAGAUGAUUGUGAAUCGCCAACAGAAAAUGAGUUGGAAAGUAUUGCUACACAUUUAUACAAUGGGUUUUAUUGCUUUGAGGCAAUAACUGAAUGCAAUAUGGAUUCAGGUGUUUGUGGAAUUUGUAGUACUGUUGGUGAAGUGUAUUUUGGGGAUGGGAAUGAAAAAAAUUGCUGCAGCAUUAGCGAGAUUGAUUACUCACCACUACAAGAUAUAGAUUGUGAGGAAGAUGAUCCUAUUUCCCUUGAGAUGUUCUUGGAGAAAUUAAAAUACAAUUUGGUGGAAAAAACAACCUACACACGAUCGGAAAAGGCCACUAUCCACUUUUCCACCAUUCCACCAGUCAUAGCCCCAUCAUUGAGAGGUACAAAAUUGUUCAACACUGAAGGGGAAAAAAAAGUGCUUUUCUCAAGCAAUAUGGCAAACCUAAUGAAGGUGAUCCAGCUCUUUUGCAUCAUUGGAUAUCCACUCAAGUAAUUGACAUGAACACAAUUGAGCAAUGCAGUGUCGAGAAGCUGAAAGAACUUUGUCAUUUGUGUAAUAUAGCAAUUUCAGGCAAAUCAAAGAUAUUUACUGUAAUUUACGAUUGUGACUUGGUAUUAAUUUGACUGCAACUUGCUCUUAAUUCAGAACUGCAUGACACAAAGUUCAGAAGUUCUAGCCGGUAAGAGAACUUAGGGGGAAAACAAAUGUAAAUAAACUGAUCAAUGAUGAUAAUGUAUUUUCCU
rnacentral:misc_RNA from 1 species